rnacentral:lncRNA from 1 species
CGGUACACAAAUUUAACAAAUCCAGAACAAAAAAAAAAUUGAGUGUAGAAACAAUUUUUCUUUCUCUCUUUUGCAUAAUAUCUUUUAAUAUUCUAGCGUCCGAAAAGUGGCAGAACUAUAAUCCAGGAAGCAGAGUGAACCAUACCAUAAUGUUGCUGAAAAAUAAAAUAUUAACAGUCCAGGCUUCACAUAUGGAUUAUUACCCCACCAUGGAGAUCAAUGUUCACAGUUCAACAUCUCCCUCCCCUUAGGCCUAGUCUACCAGUGACCAGGGCCACCAGUGAGAAGACAUGCAGAAGAAAAAAAGACAUUGCUUGAGGAAAACUAAACCUACGGACUAAAAUAAGUUAUAUCAAAAGUUGCUUCCAAAUAUUCAUUGCUCGAAUCUAAAAAUGAGUCAAAUGCCAAAAGAUAGCACAAUGCUAACAUAAACUGGAAGUCUGGAACGAGUCACUGGGCAAUUCCAACUAGUUAACAACAUUGAAAAGAGAUGUGUCAACAAUACCAAACAAUGAACCUAGCGCGUUUUCAAGCACGACAUCUUUUGAUAUACUUUUACUUACAUUAUGAAACAUCAGAUCAACAAAAUAAUGAUAAAAAGUGGUCACAGGAUACAUCAACAUCAGGUAAACCAUUUAAAUAAAAAUGCACACACACCCAAGUACUUUAAGCCAUACAGAUACAAACAGAAUAAAAGAAUGAAUGCAAGAAAAACAUAGUAGUAAUUUAUAGCAAUGCUAUUAAACAAAAUUGAAGAGGAGAUAAUUGUUAGUAUUUCAAACAACCAUCUUCCAUUAUAAGAUGAUGCGCACAUGAUCGUAAUACUAACCUUUGUGCCAAAAGGACCUUCAGGAUAGUUUAC